rnacentral:rRNA from 3 species
ACACCCGUUCCCAUACCGAACACGGAAGUUAAGCUCUUUAGCGCCGAUGGUAGUUGGGGGCUUCCCCCUGUGAGAGUAGGACGUCGCUAGGC